CCUACGGGAGGCAGCAGUGGGGGAUAUUGCACAAUGGGGGGAACCCUGAUGCAGCGACGCCGCGUGGGUGAAGAAGCGCCUCGGCGCGUAAAGCCCUGUCAGCAGGGAGGAAAAUGACGGUACCUGAAGAAGAUGCCCCGGCGAACUUCGUGCCAGCAGCCGCGGUACUACGGAGGGGGCAAGCGUUAUCCGGAUUUACUGGGGGUAAAGGGGGCGCAGACGGCGUUGCAAGCCAGGCGGGAAAACCUGGGGCCCAACCCCGGGACUGCUCUUGGAACUGCGUGGCUGGAGUGCAGGAGGGGCAGGCGGAAUUCCUGGUGUAGCGGGGAAAUGCGUAGAUAUCAGGAGGAACACCGGUGGCGAAGGCGGCCUGCUGGACUGCAACUGACGUUGAGGCCCGAAAGCGUGGGGAGCAAACAGGAUUAGAUACCCUAGUAGUC
rnacentral:rRNA from 1 species